UACGUAGGGCGCAAGCGUUGUCCGGAAUUAUUGGGCGUAAAGAGCUCGUAGGCGGUUUGUCGCGUCUGCUGUGAAAUCCCGAGGCUCAACCUCGGGCUUGCAGUGGGUACGGGCAGACUAGAGUGCGGUAGGGAGACUGGAAUUCCUGGUGUAGCGGUGGAAUGCGCAGAUAUCAGGAGGAACACCGAUGGGCGAAGGCAGGUCUCUGGGCCGCA
rnacentral:rRNA from 1 species